UGGGGAAUAUUGCACAAUGGGCGCAAGCCUGAUGCAGCCAUGCCGCGUGUAUGAAGAAGGCCUUCGGGUUGUAAAGUACUUUCAGCGGGGAGGAAGGGAGUAAAGUUAAUACCUUUGCUCAUUACGUUACCCGCAGAAGAAGCACCGGCUAACUCCGUGCCAGCAGCCGCGGUAAUACGGAGGGUGCAAGCGUUAAUCGGAAUUACUGGGCGUAAAGCGCACGCAGGCGGUUUGUUAAGUCAGAUGUGAAAUCCCCGGGCUCAACCUGGGAACUGCAUCUGAUACUGGCAAGCUUGAGUCUCGUAGAGGGGGGUAGAAUUCCAGGUGUAGCGGUGAAAUGCGUAGAGAUCUGGAGGAAUACCGGUGGCGAAGGCGGCCCCCUGGACGAAGACUGACGCUCAGGUGCGAAAGCGUGGGGAGCAAACAGG
rnacentral:rRNA from 1 species